rnacentral:rRNA from 1 species
GACGAACGCUGGCGGCGUGCUUAACACAUGCAAGUCGAACGGAAAGGCCCUGCUUUUGUGGGGUGCUCGAGUGGCGAACGGGUGAGUAACACGUGAGUAACCUGCCCUUGACUUUGGGAUAACUUCAGGAAACUGGGGCUAAUACCGGAUAGGAGCUCCUGCUGCAUGGUGGGGGUUGGAAAGUUUCGGCGGUUGGGGAUGGACUCGCGGCUUAUCAGCUUGUUGGUGGGGUAGUGGCUUACCAAGGCUUUGACGGGUAGCCGGCCUGAGAGGGUGACCGGUCACAUUGGGACUGAGAUACGGCCCAGACUCCUACGGGAGGCAGCAGUGGGGAAUAUUGCACAAUGGGCGGAAGCCUGAUGCAGCAACGCCGCGUGCGGGAUGACGGCCUUCGGGCUGUAAACCGCUUUCGCCUGUGACGAAGCGUGAGUGACGGUAAUGGGUAAAGAAGCACCGGCUAACUACGUG